UAGGAACUCAUAGUGGCCUCUUUCAGUA
rnacentral:sRNA from 1 species